UGUGGAAGGAGUAAAAAAAAAAAACAUAAUAUCUUCUCUCUCUCAGAUGCACGCACGCGAAACAACCUAACUUCGGAUUCACUCGAUCUAUCGCUCCCUCUCUCAAUCACGAUCUCACUAUACCUCUCACUCGAUCAGUUUCGUUCUCUCUCACCCUAGAUUCACGAUCGAACUCGACAUCUCUCUCUCACACUCGUUCUCUCUCGAACCCUAGCCUCCAAUCCGUUUCACUGAAUCACAAAUUCCAAUUCCUAAUUGAAGAAUCAAGGCUUACUGAACCCAAAUCGAAGCUUAGUGGAACGAAUCAAAGCUCUCUCAGCUCGUUACAGAGUCAUAAUUCCACCGCCUCUUCUCUCGAUCUAAAACUGCCACUAACCAUUACAUAGAUGUUUGGGUGGGGAACCAAUCUCUGGCGGUACGCUUCCCUCGGUUGUAUUCUAUUUCGAUUCAGCAACAAUGUAAAGUAAGUGAUAUGGGGAUGAUGGAUGGUGACGGCUGGAAGUGGAAUCUGUUAUGGAGGAGGGAUUUCUUCUGGGAGGAACCUUUUUAUCAGUAGUUGUUAGCAGUAAUUGAUGGUUUUCAGCCUACAGCACAAGAUGAUGGUUGGAGUUGGAGGCCUGAUCCUGCGUCGGGGUUUACGGCGAAGUCUGCGUAUCAGAAUCUUAUCUUGCUGCAUCGCUCUGAAACUGAGAUGGAUCAUCUUCGGAACUUUGUCUUCAGUAAUAUAUGGAAAAGCGACGCGCCGUCAAAAGUUGUAGCUUUUUCGUGGCAAUUGAUGCUUAAUAGAAUUCCAACAAAGGCGAAUUUGACGUUGAGAGGGAUUGGUAAUGAUAUGGUCUGCUCCUUCUAUAAUGUGACUGCUGAAAAUACACUUCAUAUGUUCCUUCACUGUGGAACUUCGGCGAAAAUCUGGUAUGAGCUUGUGCAAUGGAUUGGCCAGGAGUUGCUGCUUCCACCGAGUUUUAGCCUCUCCUUCUCUAUGAUGGUAGGGUGUGGGACUGGUAAGAAAGGUAAAAAGGGGCUUAUGUUAAUUUGGCACGUGUAUAUUUGGACAAUUUGGCGUACUAGGAAUGACCGGAUCUUCAAUAAUGGGGGAAUUGACGCUGAAGAUGCGGUGGAGACUAUUAAACGUCUGUCAUGGAAGUGGUUUAUUGGGCGAAUGGCAAGAAGACCUUGUCUCUUUUAUGAAUGGUGUUGGAACCCGGGAGAUUGCUUUCACCGCUGAUGGUGUGUACGGGUUGCUUAGGGCUGAGGAUCUACUAUUUUGCUGGUGUUAAUGUUAUUGCUGCUGCCUUCUAUGUUUGUCUGCGUUUUUGUUUUCAAAUUAAAGGCUUCCUUUUGUGGCUUUUUGUGUUGUAGUGAUCCUGUACCUAGGCUCUCCUUUAUUCUUGUACUCUUAACUCUAUAAAGUACUACUUGUGCUUUAUGGGUUCUUUAUAUAUAAAUUUUGGCUUUUAAAAAAAAUCAAUUAAUUAUUUGAAUCCAUUUAUAUUUAUUUACUAUUGAUUAUACUUAAUCUGUUAACACAAGAUAUAUUGAAAGAAAGUGAUCAGUUCAGGCACACUUUUUUCUCACUAUUAAGCUAUAUAUGCUUCUCUGUAUGACUAUCUUGUGUUUCAAAGGGACUUGUUGAUAUGCGGAUCUCUGAAUGUAACUUAUAUUGUUCAAUUGUCAUUUUCUGACUCAAGCAGUGCUACUCUUGAAGUUUGUAGAUCAUGGACAAUGGCUGAAUUAUUUACUACGUUAACAACUAUCACAUGGAUUAUUAGGCUAACAUAGUCAUCAAACUAAAAUGUUCCUAGAAAUCAAAGAACAGUUUAAAGAAGCUGAUAAAAAUGAUCUUGAAGGCAUGUUAAAUAUGAAGAUUCAAGAUUUGGAUACUGUAGAGGAACUUAGAAUCAAAAGAGCGGACAAACAUGGAAUUGUUAAUUAUGAAGAUUUAGAGAUUGCUAUUGCAUCCGAAAACGUUGUUCAAGUCUGUGGCAUGAAGAUUUAGAGAUUGCUAUUGCAUCCGAAAACGUUGUUCAAGUCUGUGGCUUUGUCAACAUCACCUUGGUAAUCAUAGUUUUGAUAGUUGAUUUACACUUGAUGUAUGUGUUAACUGUACUCUAGGCUAUGUUAAUUACUUAAGUUGGUUAGGAUGUAUUCUAGCUAGCUAAAACCAUUUUAAUUACUUAAGUUUUAGUCAUGUUUUAGUCAUUUUAAUUACUUAGCAUGAUAUCUCUCUUUUAUUCACCAGGUUCUUUAGGAAGUGUAUUGUGAUUUUGUUAGUUUUAUGUGUGUAAUUACUUAUUGAUUAAUCAAAA